rnacentral:rRNA from 1 species
AUUGAACGCUGGCGGCAGGCCUAACACAUGCAAGUCGAGCGGCAGCGGGACCUUCGGGUUGCCGGCGAGCGGCGGACGGGUGAGUAAUGCCUAGGAAUCUGCCUGUUAGUGGGGGAUAACGCGGGGAAACUCGCGCUAAUACCGCAUACGUCCUACGGGAGAAAGCGGGGGCUCUUCGGACCUCGCGCUAACAGAUGAGCCUAGGUCGGAUUAGCUAGUUGGUGGGGUAAUGGCUCACCAAGGCGACGAUCCGUAACUGGUCUGAGAGGAUGAUCAGUCACACUGGAACUGAGACACGGUCCAGACUCCUACGGGAGGCAGCAGUGGGGAAUAUUGGACAAUGGGCGAAAGCCUGAUCCAGCCAUGCCGCGUGUGUGAAGAAGGUCUUCGGAUUGUAAAGCACUUUAAGUCGGGAGGAAGGGCUGUAGGUUAAUACCCUGCGGUUUUGACGUUACCGACAGAAUAAGCACCGGCUAGCUUCGUGCCAGCAGCCGCAGUAAAAC